rnacentral:rRNA from 1 species
CAGCAGCCGCGGUAAUACGAAGGGGGCUAGCGUUGUUCGGAAUUACUGGGCGUAAAGCGCACGUAGGCGGAUAUUUAAGUCAGGGGUGAAAUCCCAGAGCUCAACUCUGGAACUGCCUUUGAUACUGGGUAUCCUGAGUAUGGAAGAGGUGAGUGGAAUUCCGAGUGUAGAGGUGAAAUUCGUAGAUAUUCGGAGGAACACCAGUGGCGAAGGCGGCGCACUGGUCCAUUACUGACGCUGAGGUGCGAAAGCGUGGGGAGCAAACAGGAUUAGAUACCCCCGUAGUCCCUGUCUCUUAUAC